rnacentral:rRNA from 1 species
CCUACGGGUGGCAGCAGUGGGGAAUUUUGCGCAAUGCUCGUAAGAGUGACGCAGCGACGCCGCGUGAAUGACGAAGGCCUUCGGGUCGUAAAGUUCUUUCGACAGGGAAGACAAUGCCUAUAAGUAACUGUGUAUGUAUUGACGGUACCUGUAUAAGCAGCCCCGGCUAACUCCGUGCCAGCAGCCGCGGUAAUACGGCGGGGGCGAGCGUUGUUCGGAGUGACUGGGCGUAAAGAGCACGUAGGCGGUGUUGUAAGUCAUUAGUCAAAGACUAGAGCUCAACUUUAGUAAGGCUAGUGAUACUAUAAUACGUGAAGAUCAGAGAGGAGUGCAGAAUGCCUGGGGGAGCGGGGAAAUGCGUAGAAAUCAGGAGGAAUACCGUUAGCGAAGGCGGCAAUCUGGCUGGAAACUGACGCUGAGGUGCGAAAGCGUGGGUAGCAAACAGGAUUAGAUACCCGAGUAGUC